rnacentral:tRNA from 1 species
GCCGAAAUAGCUCAGGUGGGAGAGCGUCAGACUGAAGAUCUGAAGGUCCCGGGUUCAAUCCCGGGUUUCGGCA